AUUGAACGCUGGCGGCAUGCCUAACACAUGCAAGUCGAGCGGAUGAAGGGAGCUUGCUCCUGGAUUCAGCGGCGGACGGGUGAGUAAUGCCUAGGAAUCUGCCUGGUAGUGGGGGAUAACGUCCGGAAACGGGCGCUAAUACCGCAUACGUCCUGAGGGAGAAAGUGGGGGAUCUUCGGACCUCACGCUAUCAGAUGAGCCUAGGUCGGAUUAGCUAGUUGGUGGGGUAAAGGCCUACCAAGGCGACGAUCCGUAACUGGUCUGAGAGGAUGAUCAGUCAAACUGGAACUGAGACACGGUCAAGACUCCUACGGGAGGCAGCAGUGGGGAAUAUUGGACAAUGGGCGAAAGCCUGAUCCAGCAAUGCCGCGUGUGUGAAGAAGGUCUUCGGAUUGUAAAGCACUUUAAGUUGGGAGGAAGGGCAGUAAGUUAAUACCUUGCUGUUUUGACGUUACCAAAAGAAUAAGCAACGGCUAACUUCGUG
rnacentral:rRNA from 1 species